rnacentral:rRNA from 1 species
AGAGUUUGAUCCUGGCUCAGGAUGAACGCUAGCGGCAGGCUUAACACAUGCAAGUCGAGGGGCAGCGGGUGUAGCAAUACAUGCCGGCGACCGGCGCAAGGGUGCGUAACGCGUGAGCAAUCUGCCCGUAUCAGGGGGAUAAGCGAUGGAAACGUCGUCUAAUACCGCAUAACACCAAUGAUGGCAUCAUCGAUGGUUGAAAGCUUCGGUGGAUACGGAUGAGCUCGCGAGACAUUAGUUAGUUGGCGGGGUAACGGCCCACCAAGACCGCGAUGUCUAGGGGAACUGAGAGGUUGGUCCCCCACACUGGAACUGAGACACGGUCCAGACUCCUACGGGAGGCAGCAGUGAGGAAUAUUGGACAAUGGCCGGAAGGCUGAUCCAGCCAUGCCGCGUGAAGGAAUAAGGUCCUAUGGAUUGUAAACUUCUUUUGUACGAGAGCAAUAAGUGUCACGAGUGACACGAUGAGAGUAUCGUACGAAUAAGCAUCGGCUAACUCCGUGCCAGCAGCCGCGGUAAUACGGAGGAUGCGAGCGUUAUCCGGAUUUAUUGGGUUUAAAGGGUGCGUAGGCGGGAUUUUAAGUCAGCGGUGAAACGCAAGGGCUCAACCCUUGACCUGCCGUUGAAACUGGAGUUCUUGAAUGCGGAUGCUGUGGGAGGAAUGUGUGGUGUAGCGGUGAAAUGCAUAGAUAUCACACAGAACACCGAUUGCGAAGGCAUCUCACAAAUCCGUGAUUGACGCUGAGGCACGAAAGUGUGGGGAUCAAACAGGAUUAGAUACCCUGGUAGUCCACACUGUAAACAAUGAUAACUCCCUGUCGGGCGAUACCCAGUCGGGGGGCCCAAGCAAAAGCCAAUAAUUUAUCCCCCCUGGGGGAGUAACAACCCCAAGGGUUAAAACCUCCAAGGAAUUGAACGGGGGCC